UACGUAGGUGGCAAGCGUUAUCCGUAAUUAUUGGGCGUAAAGAGCGCGCAGGUGGUUGAUUAAGUCUGAUGUGAAAGCCCACGGCUUAACCGUGGAGGGUCAUUGGAAACUGGUCGACUUGAGUGCAGAAUAGGGAAGUGGAAUUCCAUGUGUAGCGGUGAAAUGCGUAGAGAUAUGGAGGAACACCAGUGGCGAAGGCGGCUUCCUGGUCUGUAACUGACACUGAGGCGCGAAAGCGUGGGGAGCAAACAGGAUUAGAUA
rnacentral:rRNA from 1 species